GGCUCUUUUCUUUGCUGCGGAGCUGGACCGUCCACUGCGAUGAAGGUCGCCUACAUCGACCAGUACAAGGAGACGUUCGGCGUCCAGCCGAUCUGCGACGUCCUCGCCGAGACGGACGCGCCGAUCGCGCCG
rfam:Streptomyces sp. IB2014 011-1 STIB_12, whole genome shotgun sequence.